CAGGGCCAUAGACAGCAACUCUCCUGAAACACACACACGGUUCCCUUCAGAGGCAAUGUGGCUGGCAAGGGAAGGCCUCUCUGAUCUGCGGUCUACUCUCCUCUCACAGUGCCUUCGACCAUCCGUGCCAGAACUUCGGGGGCCAUCCUCGUGGGAACUUUCUCCAUCUCCAGGAUGCACUGAUGCUCCAGGGACCCAUGUCGUCCGUGCAUGUGCAGAUGACUUCUGUGACACUGAAAUGGCAGUCAUGUCCUGCCCAUGCCCCACUUGGGGGCCAUGAAUGCAGCGAGCCCGAGCCUGAGCCCGGAGGGUCUGCCCUUUACCUGGCCAGAGCUCUGCGAGCCUUGGAGGGCAAUCCUGAUGGAGCUGAGAGGACAUCCUCUGGAAGCAGAUUGUCAUCACUGCCCCCUGCACACAGGACAACCUCGGGCCCGACCACCUGGGCGAGGAGUUCCCAUUCUCUCUGGGCUUGGAAUGCACGACCAUACCGUGAGGCCCACACAACUCGUCCUGCACAGGCUCCUCACCGGGUGAGAACCAGGCCCCUUCCACAUCCAUGACUCACGCCACAUUUCUUGUUCACUGGGUCCGUCAACUCCCUUCUCGCAUCUCUCCUCGUCCGUCAGGUGGUAGGAGUGAGGGGACACACACCACGGGUUCCUAUGCAGAACCUAAGCACAUUAGCUAGGGAUAGUUGAAACCAGGUCUGAUGGGCUGACCGAGGCCCAGGGGCUUAUCAGAUUGUUUUCUUCCCUCUGCUGGGGAGCGUCUGUCACAGCCUUCAACACCCUCUCGGAAGGGACACGACUCUUUCCCAUGUUGAAAGAAUGUGGAGAAAUCCGUCCCGGAGGUCCCAUCUGAAUUCCUAGGAGAGCAGCGUUCUCUGGGCUUUCAGAGGGUUGUCCAGACCCACUGUGACAUGGGGAAAAGUGAUCGUGGAGCACAACUGACAAAUAGAUUCUGCCUACCUAUAUGUGGAGGGACAUUGACAGAUUUAGCUUCGCUGGAGGAAUGAAGCAGAAAAAUUGUCUGCCCCCUGAGCAUGCACUCCCGUAGGGCGUCAGAAGCUACACUUGAUCUCAUGAGCAUGGGGGUCCACAGCAAGUUGGUGUGAUGGUCACGGCUCUCUCUGGGUAUGGGCAAGUCCUCCUG
rnacentral:lncRNA from 1 species